GUGUGAUUUGCAAAUUUUUGAUUUUUUCGUUUGGAUACUGAUUUCGCUCAAGAAAAGCUAUAUUCCGCUCAAGAAAAGGUAUAAAUAGUAUUGGAUAAGUGACUCUAAGUCUUGCUAAAGGCUUAUUGAUCUCAGGUAUGUAUUAUUACUCUUUAUAUCAUAUAAUUAUAACGUCCAUCGACCCUAUUAUUUCAUUUUAUCUUUUUGCUGUACUAGCCUGAACAUGUGGCUGCUAAAAUUUGAAUUUGCGCGCGCGAGAUUUUAUAUAUUGAAAUUAUUUCAUUUCAAUGCCUCCAAAUAUUAGUUAAAACCAACAAUUCAAAUUUUGAAUAUGCACAUUUAUAUAUAGUGUAUUAUUUGAAACAAUAUGUGAAAUGUGAUCAUGAAUGUAAAUAUGGGUUUGCUUCAAAAUGGCUUGCAAGCCUAUUCAUACCAAAACAUGAGAAUUAUUUGAGAGUAUUAAUUAAAUUAUGUUCUUUUAAUCACAUCUCCCCUGGAAUGCCUGGAUUUCCAAGGUAAAAUCACCUAGGCAUUAAUUCUGCCUAGGGUUACUGGCCGGGUUAGACAGAGUAAAAUUAAUGGUGUUUUCACUACAAUUAAACCUUGACCUAGCCUUGGACAGGCCAAGGUAAGUGUGGCAUGUUUACACCAUUACACUAUUUUUUUUGAGACAGGCCCGCUUUGGCCAAGAAUUUUGUUAUUAAUUUUGUGUAUUUUUAUGUGUUGUGAUGUUGUCCGCUGGUUGUCUGCUAAUCUCUCACUGUGGACACACAUUGCCAUAAAAAUAAGGCCCCCGGCCAGGGCCGAAAGUGUUUACAUUUACACAAGCUUAGGGACCGGUCAUUGUAUAUGGCAGGGGUGGGGGCCGAAGAGAAAAUGGUGGGGUAACUGAAAAAUAAUAGUUGCUUUAGGUGGGGUGGCCAAAAAAUCCUUGCAUGCAGAGGUGGGGUAAAAAAAAUUGCCUUACUUUAAUCACACACAGUACAAUAUAUACUACAAUCAGAGUUUAAUAUGUGAUUAUUCUAAUUUUUUAAUAAAAUAUUAUUGCUUUCCAAAACGUUGACAGAAACACCCCCCUCAACCCACCCAAAUUCAUUUACACACAAAAUCUCCAAAUGACUCCAAUUACCAGACAAAAUAUAUACUGCCGAUAUAUAGGGGCUGUUUAUAUGGUGCAACUGCAAGCCAACCCCAGGGUACCCAAGGUGGCCCAGUUUUGGUGAGAUCCUGCCUUUGUUGUUAUUUCUUACUAAAGUUCACUUUGUGUAUAUAUGGGUAAAGAGCGGGCCCAGCUAUAGCUAAGCGAGAUCCCGCCCCUUUAGCCCGAGAUCUUGCUUCAGGAAAAGUGACCUUAAGUCUGUAGCCCCUAACCUCGGGAAUCCAGCCUCGCCCCCAUAUAAACAUCCUCUUAUUACAUAUCUCAAAAUGUAUAUGUACAGUCUAUUAACUUUUCAGGAUUUAAUUUUUGGGCAUCUACACUUGAUACUGCAUAAGUAAUAUUUAUAUCCAGUAUGUGCUUGUAAAUCAUGUGGACAAUUAGGUAGCAAAUCAUGAAAUAUGCCCCAUAUGCCUCUUGUGAAUCUGGAGAAUCAUUCCAAUGGCUAGUUCACAAUAUGUUCAACUCUAGUCUUUGGCAACUACCUGUUUUUCUUUACUAGAGAUCAUGUAUACAUGGAUAAAAUAAGAGAAAUCUAUUUACCCGUUUUACAGAUUAAUUUAAUUGUUUAUAUAGUCAUACUUGGAAUUCGGAUGAAUAUCUUUAUCUUCACACUGUAUAACAGCAACUUUUCAUAUUAAUUUACAGUAACUUUCUAAAUUCAGAUAUUCUCACAUGGGACAAAUACUUUUAAUUAGUAUCGUUGUAUUGUUUAUGAAUUAAAAUAUUAAAUUGAUUUCAAAAACUUCAAGAAUUCCUUGGGAAUUCUUAAGGAAUUCCUUUAAAAUUCCGUGAUAAUACAUGUGAUUGUCUAUAGUAAGGAAAUAUUAAAGGAAUUUCAGAGGAAAUUUUAGAAUUUAGAUAGUUGCAAUCAUGGGUGAGCACAUAUUUUGUGAAACUGUUUCACAAUAAAAUUGCAUUUUAAUUAAUAAAGGCCCCCACCCCUGCCAUAAAUAAUGACCGGUCCCUUAGGCCAGGUCUGUUGUAGUGAGCCCAAAUUUCCUGGCCUAGGUCGGGACUAGGGUGAUGCGGUUAUUCGGUUAGCCGAGACGGUUAUUUUUACAGAUCGGUUUCACGAGUCUUCUAAAUAUCAGAUAACCAACUAACCGAAAAACCAAUUCAAAAUAUAAAAUUCAAAAUAAAAAGACAAACAAGCGGGCUACAUGUGAUCAACAUAAAACUAUAAGCAAGCUACGUUAUACUCUUUGGUGAUUACGCAAUUUAAAUCGAUGCUAGAAGCCUAGAAAAGCGCUACGACUCAAAUGGCGGAUCAAAACAAGCUUAAAGCUUCCGAUUUGAUGAGCUAAGAGAAAGGCGGACGUCUGCGAAGACGUCACAUGGAUAACACACAAGACAUGUUGUUUAUUUUUGUCAAAAUAAGUUCAUUGAUUAAAAGAGUUGGUUAUCUCGGUUAUUUUGGGACGAUUCUCGGUUUCGGUUAUUUUACGAAACCGGAUCACCCUAGUCAGGACAAGGCUAGGCCAUUUCCCCAAGCCUAGGCUUAGGCCAAGUCGGUUGUAGACUUGUAGUGAGCCCAGAUUUCCUAGCCUAGGUCAGGACAAGGCUAGGCCAAAGUCUGUUUACACUGUCAAAAUGUUGGCCAAGGCUAGGCCAAGGCUGGUAGUGUAAACAAGACUAUUGAAUGCAUCAAGGCACAUUACGACUAAAUGGUUAGUGUUUCCCACAAUAUGGUAAAAAAGUAUAAACUUUUGCUAGCUUGAGCUUGAAGGAUCUUCCAAGCUAAACCCUUCUAGAGUAUACCCUGUAUGUAUGUGCCUUUUUAUAUGAUAAUGGCACGAAUGGACAGUAGGUUAUAAUCCAGGAUGGCGUGUUUAAUAUAGACACGAUACACCCCACCUGGCAGGGAUGAUAGAGUGCUUAUAUUCAUGAGAGUUUCUUGUCCUGGCAGGUGGGAUCCUGUCUAGGCCAGAUAGAAGUAGAAUAAUUCACUAAACAGUUGAUAGAGUUCAUAUUGCAAGCUGGGUCAUGUCGGUGGGAUCAUAAUAAUUACAAAGUGGCUACAUUAUGAUGCUUAUGAUGUUACUCCGAGUGUAUAUCCACACCGGGCAAGCUUGAAAAAUAUGCCUGACCACGGUGGGAAUCGAACCUACAACCUUUGGAAUACUAGCCUGGCAAUACUCUGCCAACUGAGCUAAGUGGUCAGAUCAGUUCGAAUAUGUGAUAUUUCGGAACAGAAUCUAGUUCCUUCGAUAUCAAAUAAUGUAAUCGAAGGAACUAGAAAAAUCAUUACUGAUUAUUAGAUUACAUUGAUAUUGGAGGAAUUAGAUUCUGUUCCGAAAUAUCACAUACUGUAUUUGAAUCAAUCUGUCCGCGUAGGUCAGUUGGCAGAGCAUUGGGCUAGUAUUCCAAAGGUCAUAGGUUCGAUUCCCACCAUGGUCAGGCAUAUUUUUUAAUUACGCUUGCCCGGUGUGGAUAUAUACUCAGCGUAACAUCACAAGCAUCAUAUUCCUGAGUACAUGACACCAACACAGAAAAAUCAUUACUGGCUACAGUAUAUCAUUCUACAGGUCCUUAAACAGACGUUGCCAGGCUAUAUUUACAGGCUUACAGCACUCUUACGUACUAAACCAAAACUAUAAAAUUUAUUGUUAAUGAAGGAUUUCAGCGAGCUCAAAAAUAGUCUGGCAUUAGACAGAGUACAAUAAUCUGGCAUUUAAAAGACAGUAAAAUAAGGAAGUAGGACACACAAGGGUACAAUACAACUUAAUGGGUUCACUAGACACAUGGCCAUAUUAACCCAACAAAAAUCUGGCAUUUAAAAGACAGUAAAAUAAGGAAGUAGGACACACAAGGGUACAAUACAACUUAAUGGGUUCACUAGACACAUGGCCAUAUUAACCCAACAAAACAGGAAUACCCUGUACUUCUCAAGAAGUUUGGCAGGUCAUUAAGAUGGGGAGUUCACUGGAUAUUAUACUAGGCCGGACAUGGCAUAAGCUGCAUUGUGCCACAACUUUAUUCUUUUACUGUGUCUGAUGGGUCGUUCCAGAAAAGAUCCACUCUCCCCUGGGCACAGAGGAAAUUUCAACCGUCCGGAGGGGAGGCGAGGGGAAAAAAAUUGUUUCUGAAGUGUAUAAGGACAUUCGAAUGUUGAAGGGGAUAGGGGGUUAACUUCCAAUUUCCUUCAUGGGGGAGGUUAGGUAUCGAUGUUCUCUGGAAUGACCCAACCUAAUUUCUCUUGUUAACCCAUUCACUGGCAAUAUGCUCUACUUUAUAUUACUCUGUCUAAUGGCAGGAAAUUUUACAGUUUUACUUGUUGAGAAGAUAGCCUUGCAGCAGUUUCCAAUUUGCCACCCAGAGAAUACAUUACUGGGGACGAGUCAGGGUAAAAGCCAUAUGAACCAAGGGUUAUCAAUUAUGAUAAUACUAGAAACAACGUCAACCAAAGGUUGGGUUGUGCUACUAACUACAUUUAUUUAGGUCUUCCGUCUUCCCAUUCGUAAUAAGGUGCAAAGUUUAUAGGUUGGAUAGGAGGAAAUUGCUCAUAUUGCUGCAUGUGAACUGUGAACUUGUGCUAUAUACUGUAAUGUUAACUGACUGUGGAGUUCCAGUACCGGUACAUGAAAUACAGUAUGUACAGCUAAUGAUAGUCUUGUAUUUCCUUUCUUGUAGCUCAUGUGACUAAACGUUUUGCGGGAGCAACAGCCUCAUCAGUGAAAGCUGCCAUGGCCCAAAAGUGCAAAGACAAAAGAAAUGCUGAUACGAAAAGAAGAAAAAUUGCAAAAGACAUUUGAACUGCUAAGUUUUUUCCUUUAUUAUAAAUUAUUUUGUAUGUUAGCUAAACAUUUGUAGAUAUUAACUGUAUAAAUAAAUUAUUUAAACUUCCUACAGUAUAUAUACCAUCACUGCAGUAUCUCACUGUUUGACAGGUUUAACUGUGCAUGAUUGAAGCUUUGCAUAAUUUCACAUGUGAAACUGGAACAUGUGAUAUUUCACAUGUGUAUUUGGAAGAUGUGAUAUCUCGCAUGUGAAGUUUCACAUGUCAACACAUGUGAAAUUAUGUGUUUCACAUGUGAAGUUUCUCAUGUGAAUUUGGAACAUGUGAAUUUGGAACAUGUGACUUUUCACAUGUGAACACAUGUGAAAUUAUGUGUUUCACAUGUGAAGUUUCACAUGU
rnacentral:lncRNA from 1 species